CAACCUAGGAACUUUCCCUUUAAAGACCUAUUUGUUAACUGCUGCUAACUGGAGUUUUUAUAUUCAGGGCAACUUGUAUCUAUGCUCCUGGUUGCAGUCCUCAAACUUGGCCCAAAUAAGCUCUCUACCUGUAUUCAUUUUGCCUCACUCUUUUCCAUUAGGUCGACAUACCCUAGAAAUCUGUUAACCAUCAGUAUCUCUCUUCACUACAAACACAUUCCUGAACUCAUUCAAUGUGCGGAAAUAUUAUAAAUAGGGUUAGGUUUGGAAUUCUGUGGGAUCUGCUGAGUGUGCCAUGCACACUAUACUUCAUGCAAGACAGAAUAAAAUGGAGUUACAAAGGCCAACUCUUCCUAAAAGAUUUUUUUUUUUUUUUUUAACCAUUUUUUCCUUAGUGUCUCUUGUUAUCAACA
rnacentral:lncRNA from 10 species